GAUGAACGCUGGCGGCGUGCCUAAUACAUGCAAGUCGAGCGAACAGAUGAGGAGCUUGCUCCUCUGACGUUAGCGGCGGACGGGUGAGUAAUACGUGGAUAACCUACCUAUAAGACUGGGAUAACUUCGGGAAACCGGAGCUAAUACCGGAUAAUAUAUUGAACCGCAUGGUUCAAUAGUGAAAGACGGUUUUGCUGUCUCUUUUAGAUGGCUCCGCGUCGCAUUAGCUAGUUGGUAAGGUAAUGGCUUACCAAGGCAACGUUGCGUAGCCGACCUGAGAGGGGGAUCGGCCACACUAGAACGGAGACGCGGUCCAGACGCCUACGGGAGGCAGCAGUAGGGAAUCUUCCGCAAUGGGCGAAAGCCUGACGGAGCAACGCCGCGUGAGUGAUGAAGGUCUUCGGAUCGUAAAACUCUGUUAUGAGGGAAGAACAAAUGUGUAAGUAACUAUGCACGUCUUGACGGUACCUAAUCAGAAAGCCACGGCUAACUACGUG
rnacentral:rRNA from 1 species